rnacentral:rRNA from 1 species
UUGAGAGUUUGAUUCUGGCUCAGAACGAACGCUGGCGGCAGGCUUAACACAUGCAAGUCGAGCGCCCUGCUUGCAGGGAGCGGCAGACGGGUGAGUAACGCGUGGGAACGUGCCUAUUGGUUCGGAAUAGCCCUGGGAAACUGGGUGUAAUACCGAAUGUGCCCUUCGGGGGAAAGAUUUAUCGCCAAUAGAUCGGCCCGCGUUAGAUUAGCUAGUUGGUGGGGUAAAAGCCUACCAAGGCUACGAUCUAUAGCUGGUCUGAGAGGAUGAUCAGCCACACUGGGACUGAGACACGGCCCAGACUCCUACGGGAGGCAGCAGUGAGGAAUCUUGGACAAUGGGCGAAAGCCUGAUCCAGCCAUGCCGCGUGAAUGAUGAAGGCCUUAGGGUUGUAAAAUUCUUUCAGCAGGGAAGAUAAUGACGGUACCUGCAGAAGAAGCCCCGGCUAACUCCGUGCCAGCAGCCGCGGUAAUACGGAGGGGGCUAGCGUUGUUCGGAAUUACUGGGCGUAAAGCGC